CAGCUUAAGAAAGGACUUUAUUAGCCAAGACAUGGAGCCCCGGUCAGUUCCUGUGACCCACGUGACAGACACUUCUGAAGAAAUCCAGGCCCCAUGGCUGCCAGGGCCCUCCUUCUGUGCUGGACUUGCAGUCACGUGAGCUCGCCAACGUCCUCAUUGUGUAAUCCACUUUGAAGAAGGACUUUCUGUUCCUUGUCACUGAAAGCAAGCUGAGCCACACGCUUGUUUUAGAAACAUGUUUAAAUGCAGAGAUGCGUAAAGAACAACAUGAGAAUCGCCUAUAAUCCCACCGUCCAAUAAUCGCCCCAACAUGUGUUUUGUUGAUUUUGCAUUCUUAAACCGCCGACGCGGUGGUGCUAAUUGUGAUGGAUAAUUACAUAAGUAAUGCACUUGCUUCUUGUAAAAAAAAUUCAAAUGGCACAACUGUUGAAUGCAGACAGUAAAUGGCUCCUGUGACCCCAUCUCCCGCAGUGGUGGCCUCCGUGCAGUCGGUCACCUAUUCUGAGAAUUUCCCCCACUCUGCCAGUGUUUCUAAUAUAUGGGCCACUCCCGGCUGAUAGAGAACGGCCACAUAACCUUCUGAGCCCGUAAGCAGGUAAAGUGCAGUGCGGCUCAGACCAGCGGGAUGUCUGGCCUCUGAGAAUGGAACACCGGGAGGCACGGGGAAGGGGGUCCCCACUCCCACUGCAGACAGGGCUGGCCAAGCGCCGAGCACGAAGCGUGGGGGUCCAAUUCCUGAUUCACUGUUGAAGGCUGUGUGGCCUGGAGCAGACCCCCUUAACCACUCUGAGCCUAUUUCCUCAUCCGUAAAAUGGGAAUAAUAAUGGCUAACAGAGUUGUGGAAAGGCUUAUCGAUAAUGCACAUAGAACACCCUCAAUAAACGGUAGUCGUUAUUAAAAUUA